UUGUUGUUAGUCAAUGAUGAGAUGGGUGAACAAAUUUGGAAUAGGAUUUGGUACAUACUUCAUAUUAACAUACUUGUCAAAAAAUUUCAAGUUAUAUUAUAAAUUAAUUAUAUCAUCGGGAAAAGGUGGAGAGUCAACAUCGUGGUUUUAAAUUUUAUAGGAGUUUUCUCAUUUUCAAUUUUGUUUGCUUAUUUAUAUUAUAUUUUGUUCAUUUAAAUUUCCUUUUGCUCAUUUUUCUUUUGUUUUGCUCAUUUUUUUGUCAGGGAAACAAAAUGUGAAUAUCAAUUCUGAUAUUCUCACAUUUCUUUCUGAUGUUGAUAAAAUAAAGGACUUGAGUUGGUGCAAGUAUAUCCUUGAUUCACUUGUGAAGGCCAAGCUUUUCUGGGAAGAACGUCAAACUCGUUCUUUUCCUGGGUCUUUACUGUUUCUUAUGCUUUUAUACGUUGAUCAGUUUGUCAUUGAGGAAGUUAGAGCCAAACGAGAAACUCCAGUUCUCAACGGUUGGACAACCAAUAUGUUUUCAAGUCGUGAGAAAUUGGAAAUUUUUAAGGGGAGGCUUGUAGUUUUUGAUAAAAAUCAGAAGCUUGUUGGUCCUUCUGGCAACAAACAACCAAAAAUGGAACAAUCUGAUCCAAUUCAUACAAAAAAUGAAGAAAUUGAACAAGAUCCGAAGAAGGUAUUUAUAUGAUUUUUCUGGAAACUUAUAUUAAUUUGCUCAUUUUUAUAUGACUUUGCUCAUUUUUU